CCUACGGGGGGCAGCAGUGGGGAAUAUUGGACAAUGGGCGAAAGCCUGAUCCAGCCAUGCCGCGUGUGUGAAGAAGGCCUUCGGGUUGUAAAGCACUUUCAGGGGGGAAGAAAGCCUUGGGGCUAAUACCCUCGAGGAAGGACAUCACCCACAGAAGAAGCACCGGCUAACUCCGUGCCAGCAGCCGCGGUAAUACGGAGGGUGCGAGCGUUAAUCGGAAUUACUGGGCGUAAAGCGCGCGUAGGCGGUCUGAUAAGCCGGUUGUGAAAGCCCCGGGCUCAACCUGGGAACGGCAUCCGGAACUGUCAGGCUAGAGUGCAGGAGAGGAAGGUAGAAUUCCCGGUGUAGCGGUGAAAUGCGUAGAGAUCGGGAGGAAUACCAGUGGCGAAGGCGGCCUUCUGGACUGACACUGACGCUGAGGUGCGAAAGCGUGGGUAGCAAACAGGAUUAGAUACCCCGGUAGUC
rnacentral:rRNA from 1 species